rnacentral:misc_RNA from 1 species
UGGUUCUGGCAUCGAUGAAGAACGCAGCGAAAUGCGAUAAGUAAUGCGAAUUGCAGAAUUCCAGUGAGUCAUCGAAUCUUUGAACGCACAUUGCGCCCUUUGGUAUUCCGAAGGGCAUGCCUGUUCGAGCGUCAUUAUCACCCCUCAAGCCCCCGGCUUGGUGUUGGACGGUUUGGCGGAGGCCCUUCGCGGGCGUCUGCCCCUCCCAAAGACAAUGACGGCGGCCUCGUUGGACCCCCGGUACACUGAGUUCUUCACGGGACACGUAUUGGAUACAUGGGUUUACGAGGCACGGUCUGCCUCCCCUCAGGGAGAAUUUUUCUAAAGGUUGACCUCGGAUCAGGUAGGGAUACCCGCUGA